CCUUGGCUCCUAUGAAAAAAAGAAAACAAAUUCCUUUUUUAACAAAUAUGUACAGUCAAACAAAACAAAUUUCUUCAUUAGCUAUUUUCAAAAAAUACAUGUUUCAUUCUUCACCCUAAAUGUAUUACUUCUCUAUCAGGAUGUAGAUAGCAAGCUUUAUUAUCAGUCCUCUGAAAUUAUGGAAGCCAUUUCAUUGAUUGCUGUUCUUAUCGCUUUCAAAGAUGUUUGUUUGUAUAGUGGUGUUGUUAUUGUACAAAUUGUUCUCCAGGUUUGCCUCAUUUAAUUCUUCAUCAGGUUAGACAAGUCUUCAGAAUUCUUCAUUUUUAUAAAACUAAUGUUAUAGUAUCAAUUUUCCUUCCAGUCCUGGUCACUUCACUCAACAGUUUAUACAAAUUUAUACAGUUUAUACAAAUACUGUCAUGACUCUUUGAAUUAAUUUAUUUCCUCAUUUCGUACAGCACGAUAGUACACCAUUAAAUUCAUAUGCCAUAAUUUGUUCAGUUUUUUUUUAGUUUAGUUUUUUUUUUGCCACCAUAAAAAGGGUAUAAUGUAUUUUUGUAUACACAAGUCCUUUUCCUCUUUCUUUGUUCUCUUUUGGGUGCAGGCCUAGCAGAGUUUUGGUUGGGUCAAAGGGUGUUGAGGGCUUGCACUGAUGGGUUUGAGGAUAAAGGUCAUGUCAGGAUGUUCCUGUUCCUGUCCAUUAUCUAAGAGCCCUCUAGGUCAGAACAUAGCCUCUCCGACCUCUUCCAGGUGCUGUCUGUCCCUUGAGAGGAUGAAGGAUUUUUCAAUAAACCUUGAAAGAUAAUUGGGAAGCGAGGAGACGACUCCGGGGGGAUACUCCCCCCAGUUACUGUUACCAUGAGAAAAAUUAAUUGUUGAUAUUUGGUUUUUUCCACUCUUGAUUCUGUUCCCACGAAUGGGGUAUAAAAGCCCUAACUCUUAGAUCAAUAAACAGAGCUUGUUUAUAACUUGCUACCCCCUGGUCCGCAUUUUUUUUCUCUCUCCCUUUCUCUCUCUCUUUCUCUCCUUCUUUCUUUUUCACUCUUUUCAGCCUCACCAGAGAUUAAACUUCAUAGUGGACGCAGAAGUCUUCUACAGGUGGCGCCCAACGUGGGGCAAUUGGGAGCCUGAAAGAAUGGUUUGACCAAGGUGGGCUGCCUGCGGCCAGCAGCUCUGAUGAGGAGCGCUCCACCCGUUUGAAACAAGAUGGGAAAGGGGUCGCCGGAAAGUAGCGACUCCCGUUGUUUGAAAAAAGACAGCAAAAGGAUCACCGGAAGGGAAAAGAGGAGAUUCCUGCCAUUUGAAAAAAGACGGCAAACAAGAAAACUUUGAUAAACCUGCCUUGAUACUGGAGAAAAAUGUCAGAGCAUGUAUAACAACUCACAGCUUGAAUACAAAGUAUGAGAAUUCAGGGGAAGCACAGAAGGAGCCAAUCUACAGUAACGAGUUGCCUUCCCACAUAGAGGUCAAGUGAAAGCUCCCUCUCAUCAAGUGAUAAAAGACUCCUGAACUUGUAUUUUUAGCAAUAGUAGCUUUACUUUCUGCUCAAGUGUGUAAUGUACAGAAUACUCAGCACUGGUUGCAACCUAUCACAAAUAUGGACAAAUUGGGACUAUAUAUAUACUAAUAACACCUGUAUAUUCGGAAGACAAGAAGAUCCCUAUCUCCAGGACCAAGUCAAUGUUAUGAUUACCCUCAGAUCUCUAGCAUCCAGGACACUUAUAUGUUUUUCAAAAUUUAGUAACAAUAUUGAAUCAUGUCUUUUCUUUGUUACAUCAUUUGUUAAUACCUAUUUGUCUAAUGGAUAUGUAAAUUUUAUUCAAUCAAAUACUGUUUUUGAAUUGGAAUGUUACUUGUGUCAAUUGUACUCUCAAACAAUGUAUUGAUCAUAAUGACUAUAUUGUACUUUUGGUAAAACAAUAAUCAUUUAUUAUUUUCCCUACUAAUAUUUCACAUGAAUAGUUCCAGAACUCUAGAAAACAUGCUCCAAAAUUAUUAUUUCCUCCUUAAGUCAAUCAAAACAAUUUAUUGGUCUCCUUAUUAUUGGUUCAAUCAUUAUUGCUUCUUUUAUUGUAUCUACUACUGUUUUAUCUAUUGUGCUUCAAUCUAAAAUUUAAACUGCAUAAUUUGUAUAUUACUGACAAGUUUGAACUGCUCAGUAUGCUAACAAUUGGCCUACGAUUUUACAAUAUUAAAUUUAUGUAGAUACUAUGGUGCAACAAGAAUUGGAUCUUUUAGAACAAUCAGUAAUUGCAUUAGGUAAACAUAACAACAACUAGAAACACACUUCAAUUUGAAAUGUGAUUAUCGCUAUUCAUUUGUGUAACUCCAUAUAUGUAUUCAAACUUUACUAAUAUAACUAUUGAACAAAUAUUAAAUAAGCUCCAAGGUGCAUGGCACUCUGACAAUAUCACCUGGGACAUUAAUCAGCUAUCCAAAAUACAACAUGAAAUUGCUGAUUCUCGUAUUGAUGGUAUUGAUCCUAAAGAUAUUGCAAACAAAUUGUUAGAUUGGAUUAAUCAACUUAAUCCUUUUAAGAAUGUAUUAAGUUUGCUAUUACAUUUUUUACCUUGGCUAUGUUUUGUAUUAAUUUUGUUUCCUCCUUCCCUGCUUGUUAAAAUACACUCGCCAUACUUUAGGUGAGAUUUUUUUCAUCCCUUCAUCUUCUCAACUUAAACAGUCAGAGGGGGGAGAUUGCUGAGGGCUUGCACUGAUGGGUUUGAGGAUAAAGGUCAUGUCAGGAUGUUCCUGUUCCUGUCCAUUAUCUAAGAGCCCUCUAGGUCAGAACAUAGCCUCUCCGACCUCUUCCAGGUGCUGUCUGUCCCUUGAGAGGAUGAAGGAUUUUUCAAUAAACCUUGAAAGAUAAUCGGGAAGCGAGGAGAAGACUCUGGGGGGAUACUCCCCCCAGUUACUGUUACCAUGAGAAAAAUUAAUUGUUGAUACUUGGUUUUUUCCACUCUUGAUUCUGUUCCCACGAAUGGGGUAUAAAAGCCCUAACUCUUAGAUCAAUAAAUGGAGCUUGUUUA